rnacentral:rRNA from 1 species
AUUGAACGCUGGCGGCAUGCUUUACACAUGCAAGUCGAACGGCAGCGCGGGCUUCGGCCUGGCGGCGAGUGGCGAACGGGUGAGUAAUGCAUCGGAACGUGCCCAGUAGUGGGGGAUAGCCCGGCGAAAGCCGGAUAAUUACCCCAUCGACCCUGGGGUGGAAGCGGGGGGACGGAAGGGCCCGCCGUAUUGGAACGGCCGAUGUCGGAUUAGCUAGUUGGUGGGGUAAAGGCUUACCAAGGCGACGAUCCGUAGCUGGUCUGAGAGGACGACUAGCCACACUGGGACUGAGACACGGCCCAGACUCCUACGGGAGGCAGCAGUGGGGAAUUUUGGACAAUGGGGGCAACCCUGAUCCAGCCAUGCCGCGUGCGGGAAGAAGGCCUUCGGGUUGUAAACCGCUUUUGUUCGGGAAGAAAUCCUCUGGGCUAAUACCCCGGGGGGAUGACGGUACCGGAAGAAUAAGCACCGGCUAACUACGUG